GUAAUAGCUCAGUGGUAGAGUGUGUGCUUAGCAUGCAUGGAGUCCUGGGUUCAAUCCCCAGUACUUAUA
rnacentral:tRNA from 1 species